AUCUCCUUUAAAGAGGACAAAGCUCUUGGGGAUAUGGAAAGUCUGGUUAUGAUUAGCUUCCUUGUACAGAAAUUCUUCAGAUUAGUUGGAGGGUUGUGUUUUUUUUGUCAGAUUUACUGAGAUAUAAUUGACCUAAAAUAAAACUGUACACAUUAAAGUGUACAAUUUGAUGUUUAAACACCCAUGAAACCAACACCCCCAAAAGUUUCCUCUGCCCUUUUAUAAUUCUUUCUUCCUUUCCCCUGCCCACCUCAUCCAUCCCUAGGCAACCACUCAUCUGCUUUCUGCCAGUACAAGUUAGUUUGCAUUUCCUAGAAUUUUAUAUAAAUGGAAGCAUAUGGUAUAUACUUUAUCUGGUCUUAUUUCUUUCACUCAGCAUAAUUAUUUUGGAAUUCAUCCAUGUUCUAUAUAUUGAUAAUUCCAGACCAGUAUAUAUAUUUUUUAAUAAUUUAGCCUACUGAUUUUAUUUGAUAUCUUCUGGUUUUUGUUUGUUUGUUUUUUAAUUUGACAGGCCUGUGGUGGACAGUCUUGGGAAGGAUGAUUGCUAGGUGUGUGAAAGCUCGGGGGAGGCAGGAAGUCUUACCCUGCCUACCUAGACAGGCUUCAAAGUGGAAUUGGUUAAGCCUGUCUUAAUCAUAAUCUUUCUGAGUUACCUGAAUUCUAGUUGCUGUUGUACGCGAGAUACUUACUGAUGAGUUGCCUAAUUAUUGAUGUUUGAGUGGGGUAUGUGGGGAGAAGAGCUUAGGGCAGAUCUGCAUUCUGGUGUUGUUUUGUCUUGUUCCUGAUUUGUACUCUUUCACUUUUACCUUUUUAUUGGAAACGUGUGUCUGUUUCUGUGAUUGACGUGUAAGCCAGUUAUAUAUACAGAAUUUUGGAACUGUAGAAUGGAGGCCUAGCAUCUACUGUAAAUGAAUAGUAAUUUUGAAUACCAACACUUUGUUUUCACAGGACAGGGUCCGUAUUGUAGUUUUAAUUUUCUGUAUUGUA